rnacentral:ribozyme from 11 species
AUCUUUCCACGUUUUUCGUUUUUUUAUUCCUUCCUCCCUUUCUUCUCCUGUAUUUGUGGAUCUUGGGUGGGGGGGAGAAGCCUCAUGUUGGAAGGUUUGUAGUAAAGUCAUGCAGCAAGAAAAAGUCAA